UACGAAGGGGGCGAGCGUUGUUCGGAUUUACUGGGCGUAAAGGGCGCGUAGGCGGGAUGGCAAGUCGGUCGUGAAAUCCUUCGGCUCAACCGAAGAACGUCGAUCGAUACUGCUGUUCUUGAGGGUUGCAGAGGAGACUGGAAUUCCCGGUGUAGCGGUGAAAUGUGUAGAGAUCGGGAGGAACACCGGUGGCGAAGGCGGGUCUCUGGGCAAUUCCUGACGCUGAGGCGCGAAAGCGUGGGGAGCAAACGGG
rnacentral:rRNA from 1 species